CGCAGCGACGACAGAGACGUGUUUGACGGGUAGUGUGAUCCGCACGUGUCGUGGAAGCUGCUGUGGUGGCUGGGAGCGAGUAAGGAUAGGCAGGAGGAGACGAUGUCAGCCGCCGCAGUAAACAUACUACUAGCGCAACAAUGCGACGUCGUCUAUCGUUGCACCCAGAAACGGAACUAAGCCAGAUGAUACAUAGCGUUAGCUGCCAGGUAAACGGGGGACACAGACCAGGACAGCUCAUGCUCGUAUAUCGUAUAUCGUAUAUACUGAAUGCCAUUAUAUAAUUAUAAGUGAAAUGAAAUGGAAUGAAAUCAUGCUGUAAAACAAUUUGCCGAAGAAUUGCGCUCUAGACUACCAGCAAAGUGGUAUUUUUACAAUGAGAGCAAUAAAUUACACGUAUAUUAUACGUAGCUGCUAUGCAUCUUGGACUUAAAA